rnacentral:lncRNA from 1 species
AUGUUUUAAGGGCAUACGAUACAGUUUUGAUCCUGUAUUUACAGUUUGAUGAAAAAUUCCAUAUAGGCUAGUUUUUGCCUGCUUCAAUCAAAUAUGUAAUAAAAAAUAUACCUUCAUGUGCUGCUUUUCGAGUUAAAUGAGGUCGAACUUUUGUAUAUUUGCUCAAAAUUCGGAUUUGUGGCCGUAUUUUCUCUUUCGGAAGAAAGCCAUAACUUUUUUGUUUUAAAAGAUAAACACAAAUUGUUUUUUGUUAGAUAAAUUGUAUUUUUUGUAUUUUAUAAGUAUCCUAAAAAAUUAUGCAUUUUUCAUUCAGAAAUAUCUCAUAUUUAUCAAAUGGUCAUGAAUUAAGAAAAAAAUCGCAUUUUUUUGCUGUAUAUUUAUCAAAAUUAAAAAAAAUCCUCUAUUUACAGUUUUAUAAAAUUUGGUCCACAUAAUCUCCCUGCAAAAUUAAACAAAUGUCGUUUUACAAAAUAGGGGUCCAUGCACUCGUUUUCAAAUUAAAUCAGUUUGAAUGAUAAAAAAUAGUAGAAAAAUGCAUCUUUUCCCGAUAUGUCAUAGUUUGACGUCGCGAAAAUAACAUUUUACGUUAGCAACGUCAUUACCUUCUCUGUAACUGUAUCGUAUGCCCUUAAUACUGUUACAAGAUGAAAGAGAGUUAGAUUGUAUGUACUCUAAAAGAUCUUUUGAACAAACUACCCAAGUUGAAUCUCCCUACUUUCGAUGGAGAUAUACUUCAAUGGCAAUCAUUUUGGGACUCAUUUGAGACAGCCGUGCAUACGAACCCAACCUUAAGCAACGUCCAAAAAUUCAAUUAUUUGAAAUCGUUACUUCACGAUGAAGCUCUAAAAUCAGUGACAGGUUUUGCGCUCACUGAUGCAAACUAUGAAAAGGCAAUUUCCCUAUUACAAGAAAGAUAUGGUCAGCAACAUAAAAUUACACAGAGGUAUAUGCAGGAACUUAUUGAUAUUACGUCGCCUAGGUACACACUUUUCAACCUCCGACAUUUUUAUGACAACAUUGAAAUUUACAUAAGAGGUUUAGAAUCACUAGGACAAACUGAUGAUUCAUACGGAGCGCUGUUAGUG